CGCAAGCGUGACCACAAGGCACAAAAGAGAAGGAGGACAAAAGACGGUAGAUGGAGUGAAGUUAACUCCCCCGAAGCACCCAAAUUGGCUAUUCUAACCUAUAAUCCCCGGCCUGAAGAGAGGGACGAUGAGUGUCUAACACCUGAGGAAUUCUGCAAGAUUGUUCAGAGCGCCAAGAGAUGUUACGAAUAUUUAUCUUUGAUCAAGACGAAGAUGGACAUGUUAGUGGAUUGUGGGGACAGAUGCAAUACGCCUUGGUACCAAACGAUAACUAGUCAGACGAAUGAAAAAUAUUUUCUUUUUACUAAUGCUAGUGCAGUCCUUAAUAUUAUAGUGAUUCUACUUCAUUUAAUUUUAAAACCUCUGAUUGAUGAUGAUUUGUGACGACCGAAUUAAUUAAGAGGGCGAGAUGAUUGUGGAAAAAUAAAAAGAGUUUU